rnacentral:rRNA from 1 species
CACGUAGGGGGCGAGCGUUGUCCGGAUUUAUUGGGCGUAAAGAGCUCGUAGGCGGCUUGUUGCGUCGUCCGUGAAAACCUGUGGCUCAACAACAGGCUUGCGGUCGAUACGGGCGGGCUGGAGUUCGGUAGGGGAGACUGGAAUUCCUGGUGUAGCGGUGAAAUGCGCAGAUAUCAGGAGGAACACCGGUGGCGAAGGCGGGUCUCUGGGCCGAUACUGACGCUGAGGAGCGAAAGCGUGGGGAGCGAACAGG